GGGCGCGGCUCGGAGCCGGGUCGUCGCUAUAGCAAUCGGGAAUCGCUACCUGUCCCUUCCAAGGAUUCGGUCCACCUGAAGCGUGAGGAGGUGGCGGAGGCCCCAAGGGCUCUGCGCUGUCACUUCCGCGGCCUGCGGGCGAGAAGGUGCGCUUCGGGAGUAGCGCGGGAGGACAGGAGGCGCAGGUUGUGAGGGACGCAGGCCGGGGCUUCCGUCUCUGUCCUCCGAGCUCAGAGCCCCCAGGCUUCUUCCCGGCCGCGCGCUCAGCACUCACUGUCUUACGUUCCCGAAGCGCUUUAAGGUGCGCAGUCCGCAGGCCUUGCCUACUGAUCUUCGAGCCACCCCUUGAAGGAAGCAGUUGCAGACGCUGAGCACAGUGCCAAACCUAGAUAGAAACUCAUUUGGGAUAUGGAGGAGAAUAUGCCACCAGUUCUCCAAAGUAGAGGGAUCCCCAGAACCAGCUCUGUGAUCACAAGUGAAGUCAAGGGACUGACCAGACACAUGAACCUAGAUCUCUGCAAAGAGCCCUGGGACCCAGAUGGGAGAGGUCCAGGGCCUGGUUCCAUCUUCCCUCCCUCUCUUGAUGUGUGGCCCUGCUCAAGGCGUUGGACUGCAGUGGACCUCCAUAUCCUUCUUUUGGAAAACAGAGUUAACAAUACCUGCCCCGUUCAGAGGAGAAAUGAGGUCAUGUUUGUGCAGCAUUGUGAGCUCACUGGAGACAAUGAGUGUAUUCUUCUUAACAGUAACAAUAAUAAUCAUUACUGCAAAUCUAACCAGUAAAUAUAUCUCCUCAAAGCUGGAGUUGGCCCCUCAGUAGGA